AUUGAACGCUGGCGGCAGGCCUAACACAUGCAAGUCGAACGAGUGGCGGACGGGUGUGUAAUGUCUGGGAAAUUGCCUGAUGGAGGGGGAAAACUACUGGAAACGGUAGCAAUUACCGCAUACCCUCAGAUGUGCCCAGAUGGGAUUAGCUUGUUGGUGGGGUAACGGCACACCAAGGCGACGAUCCCUAGCUGGUCUGAGAGGAUGACCAGCCACACUGGAACUGAGACACGGUCCAGACUCCUACGGGAGGCAGCAGUGGGGAAUAUUGCACAAUGGGCGCAAGCCUGAUGCAGCCAUGCCGCGUGUAUGAAGAAGGCCUUCGGGUUGUAAAGUACUUUCAGCGGGGAGGCGUUACCCGCAGAAGAAGCACCGGCUAACUCCGUGCCAGCAGCCGCGGUAAUUC
rnacentral:rRNA from 1 species